rnacentral:rRNA from 1 species
AAGCUCGUAGUUGAAUUUCGGGACCAAUUUGUUGGUCGUGCCUCGGUACGUACUGGUAUUAUUGGUUUCUCCCUUCUGAAGAACCUUGAUGUCAUUAAUUUGGUGUCUUGGGGAAUCAGGACUGUUACUUUGAAAAAAUUAGAGUGUUUAAAGCAGGCAUACGCUUGAAUACAUUAGCAUGGAAUAAUGAAAUAGGACGUUUGAUUCUAUUUUGUUGGUUUCUAGGAUCGACGUAAUGAUUAAUAGGGAUAGUUGG